GCCCGGCUGGCUCAAUGGUAGAGCAUCAGACUUCUACCAGGUAAAUUCUGCUGUUCGUAAAGUCAAUCUGAAGGUUGUGGGUUCGAGUCCCACGUCGGGUG